CCUCUCGUAGCUUAGCAGUAAAGUACUGGUGUGAAGAACCGGGGGACCCGGGUUCGAUUCCCGGCGAGAGUU
rnacentral:tRNA from 1 species